rnacentral:rRNA from 1 species
CAGCCGCCGCGGGAAUACGUAGGUCCCGAGCGUUGUCCGGAUUUAUUGGGCGUAAAGCGAGCGCAGGCGGUUAGAUAAGUCUGAAGUUAAAGGCUGUGGCUUAACCAUAGUACGCCUUGGAAACUGUUUAGCUUGAGUGCAAGAGGGGAGAGUGGAAUUCCAUGUGUAGCGGUGAAAUGCGUAGAUAUAUGGAGGAACACCGGUGGCGAAAGCGGCUCUCUGGUCUGUCACUGACGCUGAGGCUCGAAAGCGUGGGUAGCGAACAGGAUUAGAUACCCGUGUAGUCCCUGUCUCUUAUACC